rnacentral:rRNA from 1 species
UACGUAGGGAGCAAGCGUUGUCCGGAAUCAUUGGGCGUAAAGCGCGCGUAGGCGGCCCCGCAAGUCGGCCGUGAAAUCUCCGGGCUCAACUCGGAGGGGUCGGGCGAGACUGCGGAGCUCGAGGUGGGCAGAGGGCAGUGGAAUUCCGGGUGUAGUGGUGGAAUGCGUAGAGAUCCGGAGGAACACCAGUGGCGAAGGCGGCUGCCUGGGCCUGGCCUGACGCUGAGGCGCGAAAGCGUGGGGAGCGAUCCGG